GCGACCCCAGGUCAGGCAGGACUACCCGCUGAGUUUAAGCAUAUAAAUAAGCGGAGGAGAAGAAACUUACAAGGAUUCCCCUAGUAACGGCGAGCGAACCGGGAGCAGCCCAGCUUGAGAAUCGGGCGGCUGUGCCGUCCGAAUUGUAGUCUGGAGAGGCGUCCUCAGCGACGGACCGGGCCAAAGUCCCCUGGAAAGGGGCGCCUGGGAGGGUGAGAGCCCCGUCCGGCCCGGACCCUGUCGCCCCACGAGGCGCCGUCAACGAGUCGGGUUGUUUGGGAAUGCAGCCCAAAUCGGGCGGUAGACUCCGUCCAAGGCUAAAUACAGGCGAGAGACCGAUAGCGAACAGGUAGUACCGCGAGGGAAAGAUGAAAGGACUUUGAAAAGAGAGUCAAAGAGUGCUUGAAAUUGCCGGGAGGGAAGCGGAUGGGGGCCGGCGAUGCGCCCCGGCCGUAUGCGGAACGGCUCUUGCUGGUCCGCCGCUCGGCUCGGGGUGUGGACUGUUGUCGGCCGCGCCGGCGGCCAAAGCCCGGGGGCCCUAGGUGCCCCGGUGGCCGUCGUCGGCACGGCCGGUACCCGCGCGCCUAAAGGCGUGUCCCUCGGGGCACUGCGCUGCAACGGCCUGCGGGCUCCCAUCCGACCCGUCUUGAAACACGGACCAAGGAGUCUGACAUGCGUGCGAGUCGACGGGUUCUGAAACCUGGAAUGCGCAAGGAAGCUGACGAGCGGGAGGCCCUCACGGGCCGCACCGCUGGCCGACCCUGAUCUUCUGUGAAGGGUUCGAGUUGGAGCACGCCUGUCGGGACCCGAAAGAUGGUGAACUAUGCCUGAGCGGGGCGAAGCCAGAGGAAACUCUGGUGGAGGCUCGAAGCGAUACUGACGUGCAAAUCGUUCGUCUGACUUGGGUAUAGGGGCGAAAGACUAAUCGAACCAUCUAGUAGCUGGUUCCCUCCGAAGUUUCCCUCAGGAUAGCUGGAGCCCAUUACGAGUUCUAUCAGGUAAAGCCAAUGAUUAGAGGCAUUGGGGACGCAACGUCCUCGACCUAUUCUCAAACUUUAAAUAGGUAGGAUGGCGCGGCUGCUUCGGUGAGCCGUGCCAUGGAAUCGGGUGCUCCAAGUGGGCCAUUUUGGGUAAGCAGAACUGGCGAUGCGGGAUGAACCGGAAGCCGGGUUACGGUGCCCAACUGCGCGCUAACCUAGAACCCACAAAGGGUGUUGGUCGAUUAAGACAGCAGGACGGUGGUCAUGGAAGUCGAAAUCCGCUAAGGAGUGUGUAACAACUCACCUGCCGAAUCAACUAGCCCCGAAAAUGGAGGGCGCUGACGCGCGCGCCCCACACCCGGCCAUCUGGGCGAGCGCCAUGCCCCGAUGAGUAGGAGGGCGCGGCGGCCGCUGCAAAACCCGGGGCGCGAGCCCGGGCGGAGCGGCCGUCGGUGCAGAUCUUGGUGGUAGUAGCAAAUAUUCAAAUGAGAACUUUGAAGGCCGAAGAGGAAAAAGGUUCCAUGUGAACGGCACGUGCACAUGGGUAAGCCGAUCCUAAGGGACGGGGUAACCCCGGCAGAUAGCGCGAUCACGCGCAUCCCCCGAAAGGGAAUCGGGUUAAGAUUUCCCGAGCCGGGAUGUGGCGGUUGACGGCGACGUUAGGAAGG
rnacentral:rRNA from 1 species